UAGGGGAGAAUGGAAUUCCUGGUGGAGCGGUGGAAUGCGCAGAUAUCAGGAGGAACACCAGUGGCGAAGGCGGUUCUCUGGGCCUUUCCUGACGCUGAGGAGCGAAAGCGUGGGGAGCGAACAGGCUUAGAUACCCUGGUAGUCCACGCUGUAAACGGUGGGUACUAGGUGUGGGGUCCUUCCAGGGUUCCGUGCCGUAGCUAACGCUUUAAGUACCCCGCCUGGGGAGUACGGCCGCAAGGCUAAAACUCAAAGGAAUUGACGGGGCCCCGCACAAGCGGCGGAGCAUGCGGAUUAAUUCGAUGCAACGCGUAGAACCUUACCUGGGUUUGACAUGAUCGGGAGUGCUCAGAGAUGGGUGUGCCUCUUUUGGGGUCGGUUCACAGGUGGUGCAUGGCUGUCGUCAGCUCGUGUCGUGAGAUGUUGGGUUAAGUCCCGCAACGAGCGCAACCCUUGUUCACUGUUGCCAGCACGUUAUGGUGGGGACUCAGUGGAGACCGCCGGGGUCAACUCGGAGGAAGGUGGGGAUGACGUCAAGUCAUCAUGCCCCUUAUGUCCAGGGCUUCACGCAUGCUACAAUGGCUGGUACAGAGAGUGGCGAGCCUGUGAGGGUGAGCGAAUCUCGGAAAGCCGGUCUCAGUUCGGAUUGGGGUCUGCAACUCGACCUCAUGAAGUCGGAGUCGCUAGUAAUCGCAGAUCAGCACGCUGCGGUGAAUACGUUCCCGGGGCUUGCACACACCGCCCGU
rnacentral:rRNA from 1 species